GCGCAUGGGGGAACCCNGACGCAGCACGCCGCGUGGGUGAUGAAGGUCUUCGGAUUGUAAAGCCCUGUUUUCUGGGACGAUAAUGACGGUACCAGAGGAGGAAGCCACGGCUAACUACGUGCCAGCAGCCGCGGUAAUACGUAGGUGGCGAGCGUUGUCCGGAUUUACUGGGCGUAAAGGGUGCGUAGGCGGAUGUUUAAGUGGGAUGUGAAAUCCCCGGGCUUAACCUGGGGGCUGCAUUCCAAACUGGAUAUCUAGAGUGCAGGAGAGGAAAGCGGAAUUCCUAGUGUAGCGGUGAAAUGCGUAGAGAUUAGGAAGAACACCAGUGGCGAAGGCGGCUUUCUGGACUGUAACUGACGCUGAGGCACGAAAGCGUGGGUAGCAAACAGGAUUAGAUACCCUGGUAGUCCACGCCGUAAACGAUGGAUACUAGGUGUAGGGGGUAUCAACUCCCUCUGUGCCGCAGUUAACACAAUAAGUAUCCCGCCUGGGGAGUACGGUCGCAAGAUUAAAACUCAAAGGAAUUGACGGGGGCCCGCACAAGCAGCGGAGCAUGUGGUUUAAUUCGAAGCAACGCGAAGAACCUUACCUGGACUUGACAUCCCUUGCAUAGCCUAAAGAUAGGUGAAGCCCUUCGGGGCANGGANACAGGUGGUGCAUGGUUGUCGUCAGCUCGUGUCGUGAGAUGUUAGGUUAAGUCCUGC
rnacentral:rRNA from 1 species